CCUACGGGCGGCAGCAGUGAGGAAUAUUGGUCAAUGGGCGCGAGCCUGAACCAGCCAGGUAGCGUGAAGGAUGACUGCCCUACGGGUUGUAAACUUCUUUUAUAAAGGAAUAAAGUGAGGCACGUGUGCCUUUUUGUAUGUACUUUAUGAAUAAGGAUCGGCUAACUCCGGACCAGCCGCCGCGGUAAUACGGAGGUGCCGAGCGUUAUCGGGAUUUAUUGGGUUUAAAGGGAGCGUAGAUGGGUUGUUAAGUCAGUUGUGAAUGUUUGCGGCUCAACGGUAAAAUUGCAAUUGAUACUGGCAGUCUUGAGUACAGUUGAGGUAGGCGGAAUUCGUGGUGUAGCGGUGAAAUGCUUAGAUAUCACGAAGAACUCCGAUUGCGAAGGCAGCUUACUAAUCUGCCACUGACAUUGAUGCUCGAAAGUGUGGGUAUCAAACAGGAUUAGAUACCCCAGUAGUC
rnacentral:rRNA from 1 species